GCCCCAUGGUAUCUGACUUGAUUGACAUAAAAUCCUUAGGGAAUGUUAUCGUCCUAAAGCUUCAGAGAGACGUGUUGUUAACUUCAGGGUCCCAUCCCAGGUGCACAUAUGCUAAGAACCAUGCUGUGGUUUUGUUUGUUGAGACCUUCAUCUUCCCAGUGUGCAGCUCUCCUGCCUGGAUUUGGUCCUUACUAGUACCCUGGUUCAGUGACCUGGAGGAGCCAACAUUUUACCUACCACCUUUAGAAGCGUUGCUCAAAGGUUUGUUGUAUGAGGAGCCCCAGUGACUCACAGAGGCCACCAUUCACCCUUUGAAGCCGCCCCUCCUCACCUCCACUGUCACCUCCUCCAGACAUGCUAAGAAUAACUGCUGAUAGAAGAUAAACGAGACUCCUAGAUACAUGGGAUGAUCAAAUCAAGUCUCAGAGUCCUUCUGUGUCGUCUACGCUCAACAACUUGCUUGGAUUUGUAAUUACCUCAGAGACACACCUCUGGGCAUUGGAGCUCCCCUCCCCCAAUAUGGGUGGUGUCAUCUCUAAGAACUGAGAUCCCAAACUGAAUGAGAAGGGAACAAAGGAGAAGAUAAAGAGAGCACCAGCACAACUCUCUCUGCAUCCUGAGCAGCUAAUUCUGCUGUCAUGCUGUCCCUUCAAUGAUGCUCAGCCUUUCUCUGAACGAGAGCGCCCCUCUCCAGCCCUUGAUUUCUUUCAGAGUGUGG
rnacentral:lncRNA from 1 species